GUUCCCUACGGGAGGCAGCAGUGGGGAAUAUUGCACAAUGGGGGAAACCCUGAUGCAGCGACGCCGCGUGAGUGAAGAAGUAUCUCGGUACGUAAAGCUCUAUCAGCAGGGAAGAAAAUGACGGUACCUGAGUAAGAAGCCCCGGCUAACUACGUGCCAGCAGCCGCGGUAAUACGUAGGGGGCAAGCGUUAUCCGGAUUUACUGGGUGUAAAGGGAGCGUAGACGGCCAGACAAGUCUGAAGUGAAAAUCCAGCG
rnacentral:rRNA from 1 species